rnacentral:rRNA from 1 species
AUGUCACCAAAGCAUGGCCUGACGAGCAAACCAGCAGCGCCAAAGUGGAUUCCCCCAGUUCCUGGAAACAUCAAACUCAAUGUGGAUGCAGUAGUGGCCAAAUCCACUAGCAGAGGAGCUGUUGGGGUGGUAUGCCGAGAUGAGCAGGGAAGCUUUAGAGGGGCUUUCGCUGUUGUUUUUUAGGGGCUGAUGGAGCCUGAAACUUUAGAAGCUUUGGCUUGUAGGGAGGCCUUGGCUUUGGGACAUGAUCUUCACUUGGGAAAGCUUCAAGUAGCAACUGAAUGUCUGAGAGUCAUCAAGGAGAUAGAGUCUGAUAAGAACUUUGGUGGUCAUUGCAUGAUAAUUAGAGAGAUUUUAGAUCUUUAA